rnacentral:rRNA from 1 species
AGUGAACGCUGGCGGUAGGCCUAACACAUGCAAGUCGAACGGCAGCACAGUAAGAGCUUGCUCUUACGGGUGGCGAGUGGCGGACGGGUGAGGAAUACAUCGGAAUCUACUUUUUCGUGGGGGAUAACGUAGGGAAACUUACGCUAAUACCGCAUACGACCUACGGGUGAAAGCAGGGAUCUUCGGACCUUGCGCGAUUGAAUGAGCCGAUGUCGGAUUAGCCAGUUGGCGGGGUAAAGGCCCACCAAGGCGACGAUCCGUAGCUGGUCUGAGAGGAUGAUCAGCCACACUGGAACUGAGACACGGUCCAGACUCCUACGGGAGGCAGCAGUGGGGAAUAUUGGACAAUGGGCGCAAGCCUGAUCCAGCCAUACCGCGUGGGUGAAGAAGGCCUUCGGGUUGUAAAGCCCUUUUGUUGGGAAAGAAAAGCAGCAGGUUAAUACCCCGCUGUUCUGACGGUACCCAAAGAAUAAGCACCGGCUAACUUCGUG